AUUGAACGCUGGCGGCAGGCCUAACACAUGCAAGUCGAGCGAGCGGCGGACGGGUGAGUAAUGUAUGGGGACUGCCCGAUAGAGGGGGAUAACUACGGGAAACGGUGGCUAAUACCGCAUACUAUCGGAUAACCCAUAUGGAAUUAGCUAGUAGGUGGGGUAAAGGCUCACCUAGGCGACGAUGUCUAGCUGGUCUGAGAGGAUGAUCAGCCACACUGGGACUGAGACACGGCCCAGACUCCUACGGAGGCAGCAGUAGGGAAUCUUGCACAAUGGGCGCAAGCCUGAUGCAGCCAUGCCGCGUGUAUGAAGAAGGCCUUCGGGUCGUAAAGUACUUUUGGCGGGGAAGCGUUACCCACAGAAAAAGCAACGGCUAACUCCGUGCCAGCAGCCGCGGUAAUUC
rnacentral:rRNA from 1 species